GAAAUACUUCUUUCAUUUCUUGCAUGAUGGUGUCAAGACAACACUGUCCUAAUUGCACCUAUACUGUUCACUGCAGUAUGUUGGAGCACACAAUGCCAUGGAGAACCACAGUGUCUUGGAUCAACUUUUGUUAUGGAAAUAUUUCCAAACUGUUGUCAUUUCUGUAUUGGUCACAACACUGGCCAGGAAACAGGGGAAGAAGAACCAACUUUUUAUAAAGUUUUUGCCAACUCCACUCCAGGGCAAUGGCUAUUCUUCCCAUUUCAGGAAGAACACCCUUUUCCAGAUGACUCCUAAUAUUCUUCUUUCUUCAACUCAGGAACUAAUUUGCCAUAUCUAAGAAUAUAAAAAGCAGUGCAUUCAGGAACAAUGCCUACCUCAGAUAAAAUGUCUUGGGAGCUCUGGAGAAUUUAGACCUUGGAAAUUUUAUGGGGCUGCUGAUCUGAGCUACUGAGGAGACUUUUGCAAAUGUGCCUUCAGAUGACACAAACCCAGAGUAAAUCCCUUCAAAACCUCACUGGUGUUUCUAAAACAGCAUCAGAGGACACAUGUCAGUGGUACAAGGAAAUUAGGUGGAAGUUGAAGAGCUAGACUACCCUCUUCUGAGUCAG
rnacentral:lncRNA from 1 species